UAGCUCAGUUGGUAGAGCAGUGGACUGAAAAUCCACGUGUCACUGGUUCGAUUCCGG
rnacentral:tRNA from 1 species